CACGUAGGGCGCAAGCGUUGUCCGGAAUUAUUGGGCGUAAAGAGCUCGUAGGCGGUCUGUUGCGUCCGCUGUGAAAACCCGGGGCUUAACCCUGGGCUGGCAGUGGAUACGGACAGACUAGAGGUAGGUAGGGGAGAAUGGAAUUCCCGGUGUAGCGGUGAAAUGCGCAGAUAUCGGGAGGAACACCGGUGGCGAAGGCGGCACUCUGGGCCGAUACUGACACUGAGGAGCGAAAGCGUGGGGAGCGAACAGG
rnacentral:rRNA from 1 species